GCGCGCGCAGUUUUCUCGCUUGCGAGCACGCGGUGGUGAGUUGUCAAAUGUUCUCGUGCGUUCGAGUCCUGCUCUCCGUGCUGUUUUUCCCUCUCGUGCAGGUGGAGCUGAGAGCGGAGGGCGCGCGUGGAGCUUUUCCACCCCGCGUGGAAGGGGCAAACAGAAUCAGAAAAAGGGGCCAGCAGAUGUGCAACAAGGCCUUCUCGGUCACUUCUCUGAGAAGAAACUUUUCCAUGGACUCUUACCAGCGAAGUGUGUCCUUCACUUUAGCAAGACAUAAGCCUUCCACAGAAGUCAAACUUUAAGUCAUGGAGGACCCCCCCACACCACAAAAGCGCCCCCCCCACUCUGCUGCUGCCUCUCCUGCAUCCAGCACCUCCUGAUCCCCUGCCACCAGGGAGAGGGACGUCAAAAUUCCUGGGCGUAAUUUGGCUGACUGUUACUUGGAUAAAGGUCAGAACCACACUCUAGAGCUGGGCGUACACUACACUCUAACAGCUUUUAAAAAUGAGGAGCACUUAUAGUCAGUCUUUUACAGAAUUUGAACUCUUUGCUACAUGGCAUUGACGCAUCAUUGCAGAUGUUAUAUGCUGUCAUUAGCUCUUAUGACAGAUUAUGUCCAGUAAUAUAACAGUGUCAUGUUACCAUUACUGUUAACAUUGUCAUGUUUGAUGUCAUGAUGGGUAACUACACAAUACUUAGCAUAAAUAAACAUAAGCUGUCAUGACAUCAAACAUUAUGGCAUUUGUUAUGACAGCUACCAGUAAUGAUAACAUGACACUGUUAUACUACUGAACUAAAUGAUACCUCAUGACAGGAUAUGACAUUUGCUAUUAUGUUUAUGGCAGGGUUAUGUCAAGGUUAUGUAGCUCAAUUCACCCCUUAAAAUUCCAGGCUUAUGACAUACUAAGCCUUAUUAUUCAGUGACUACAGGGGCUUUCAUGCAAACUAGCUGAGCUAAUCUUAGAUGUAGUGUAAUCUUGGCUUGUCUAAUAUUAGAGUUUUAAUAAAACCUUGGGCCUGCCAGUAGGCCCUGGCUAUUUAAGGGGUUAAAGUUUUACCCAGAAUUUCUUGUCUUUUUGGUUGGAGGGCGCUCACACUAGAUGAUUAGGUCAACACAUAAUGAGUUUCAGCUUAAAACAACUUAAAAUCCCAAAUCUUACAAAUUCAUUUGUGCUUUUUUGCAAGACGUUGCAAAAGUGCAAAAUGCGGAUGAAUAUGGGGUUGGUAGAUAUAGUUAUUAUUCAAUUUUUCAAAUAGAACUGGAGAUGCACUGUACUACAAAUAAGCAGUUGACAUGAAAUUGUAGAGUGCCUAAAGUUCUGGUCAUUGUAAAGGCACUGAAGUUAUAGAGACACUGUGCAUUGGCCAUUUUUCAACAAUCAGCUCCUCUAUCGCUGUCCCUUCACCUUUUUCUCAGUUCCCUUAGCUUGUUCAGUUAUGUUGCUUACCAUGUAACACCACAGGACUUGUGUACGUUUUCACCUGGAGCUCAGUCAGAAGGCUAAAGAUCACACUAGAAAAAACAACUGGAAAACCUGAAGUAUGUCUUCAAAAUUGUGAAAAAUUGUUAGAGUGAGGCAAAAUUAAUCAUGUAGUGAACGCCGAGCUAUGCACACUCUUACUCCUGUACUCAUAGUCAUAUGUGCAUAUAACCAUAUACACUUACACUGAGUUUAAUAGGUCCACCUACAGUCAACCAUACCUACCGUACCUACCAUAUUGGUGCACUUUAUAGGUUUGCAGUUACUGACCGUAGUCCAUCUUUCGCUGUACAGUUUAUGAGCCCCCCACCCUGUCAAUCAAUGGAAAAAGACCACCAUAGGACCACUGCUGUCCUGAUAUUACUUGCAUGGUGGACACUGGCAUGCUAGUGGAUGGUAAUGUGUAAUGCACUACAGUGAGUACCAUGGACAUGUUAGAGUCAAUUAAGAGAUGCCAAUAUGCUAAUAAUAUCUGGUCAGUGGUGGCUCUUUUUUACUAAUGGAGCAAGGGGGUGGCUGAUAAUUUGUGCUUAUAACAGAUGGGCUGUAUACUGAGCCCUUUUUUCAAACAUGCUUAUAACACUGACAUUCUUAGACUCAUGUUCAUAUUGUUGCUGUUGUAUCAAAACCAUGUAGUCUAAAAUUGCAUUAAUGUACAUUACAAACAUUUUUUUCCCCUUUUUUCAUUUACUAUGGUUAACAUCUCUGAGAAACUAGGUUUGGUUACAACAGUGAAAAUCUGUUUAUACAUCAGACUCUUUCGUACUUUCACGCUUAUAUUUUUGGACACAGAUAACGUUGUGAAUCAACUCGCACAUAUUUAUGGAUACAAAUAAAUAAACAAGUCAUAAAUAGAUGAUACAUAUGAAAGCAGGCAAGCAUGAAAUAUCUGUCUGACUCAACACGUUACCAUUACUGCAAAAUGGAAGUAUCACUCAUCUCCCAUCUGCUGAUCACUCUCUCUCUCUCUCUCUCUCUCUUCCUCUCUUUCUUUCAUCCUUUUGCACAUGCACUCACCCACAUCAUGAUCAGCAUCAUCAUCACAGUGACACACGCACAUCCGCUGCUGGUGGGCUGUAUGGGAUGGAGUGGGCUUUGACAGUACAGAGAGGCAGAACACAGGAAGCACAUUAGUUAUCGGCUUCUGUCGUCUACACCUUUUCACAUCCCAUCACAGUUACAUCCCUCCGUCCGCUCCCUCGCUCUCCCGCAGCCCCCCAAAGUCCUGCCCUGCUCCACUUCUGCUGUAGCACGAUCUGCACACACUUCACAAUACACACACGUGCAGACGAGCCAAUGAAAUAUUUACACAAAGGACAGCAGGGUCAGAACGAGAAGAAGAGGGGAUUGAAGGAAUGGCAGAGGGAAAGAAAGAAAGAAAGAAAGA